rnacentral:rRNA from 1 species
GAAAGCGGUAAAAGCUCAAAUUUGAAAUCUGGUACUUUCAGUGCCCGAGUUGUAAUUUGUAGAAUUUGUCUUUGAUUAGGUCCUUGUCUAUGUUCCUUGGAACAGGACGUCAUAGAGGGUGAGAAUCCCGUUUGGCGAGGAUACCUUUUCUCUGUAAGACUUUUUCGAAGAGUCGAGUUGUUUGGGAAUGCAGCUCAAAGUGGGUGGUAAAUUCCAUCUAAAGCUAAAUAUUGGCGAGAGACCGAUAGCGAACAAGUACAGUGAUGGAAAGAUGAAAAGAACUUUGAAAAGAGAGUGAAAAAGUACGUGAAAUUGUUGAAAGGGAAGGGCAUUUGAUCAGACAUGGUGUUUUUUGCAUGCACUCGCCUCUCGUGGGCUUGGGCCUCUCAAAAAUUUCACUGGGCCAACAUCAAUUCUGGCAGCAGGAUAAAUCAUUAAGAAUGUAGCUACUUCGGUAGUGUUAUAGCUUUUUGGAAUACUGUUAGCCGGGAUUGAGGACUGCGCUUCGGCAAGGAUGUUGGCAUAAUGGUUAAAUGCCGCCCGUCUUGAAACACGGAC